GACAGAGGAUGCAAGCGUUAUCCGGAAUGAUUGGGCGUAAAGCGUCUGUAGGUGGCUUUUUAAGUCCGCCGUCAAAUCCCAGGGCUCAACCCUGGACAGGCGGUGGAAACUACCCAAGCUGGAGUACGGUAGGGGCAGAGGGAAUUUCCGGUGGAGCGGUGAAAUGCGUAGAUAUCUGGAGGAACACCGGUGGCGAAGGCGGCAUCCUGGACCGGCAUUGACGCUGAGGCGCGAAAGCUAGGGGAGCAAACGGG
rnacentral:rRNA from 1 species